rnacentral:rRNA from 1 species
CCUACGGGGCGCAGCAGUGGGGAAUAUUGGGCAAUGGAGGCAACUCUGACCCAGCAACGCCGCGUGAGCGAUGAAGGUCUUCGGAUUGUAAAGCUCUGUCGCAGGGGACGAAGUAUGACGGUACCCUGUAAGAAAGCCCCGGCAAACUACGUGCCAGCAGCCGCGGUAAUACGUAGGGGGCUAGCGUUGUCCGGAAUUACUGGGCGUAAAGGGAGUGUAGACGGCUUGUCAAGUUAAGUGUGAAAGCCUGCGGCUUAACCGCAGAAUUGCACUUAAAACUGACUCGCUAGAGUGCAGGAGAGGUG